AUAAAUUUUACUUGGUGUAAAAAUAUUAAUGGAAGUUGGGAUUAAUUUACCAUGAUUAGAUUAUUAAGUGGGGAUUAAAAAUUUAAUUAGUCAUUAAACAAGUCACUAGUGCACUAAGUGGGCCCCACCAAGACAUGUGACCAAAUUUAAUUGGCUCAAGCCUUGAGUGGGACACUUGUCACUCUUAGGGGCUGCCUAUAUAAGGAAAAAUCUGAUGUUUAAGUGUUCAUUUUAUCAUCUUCAACAUUACAAGAAAAGAGAAAAACCUAGAGAUAGAGAAGGGGGGCUCACGGCCAUGGUGAAAAAAAUCCAUGUUCACUAAGCUUGGUCCAAUUAAUUUUUCCAUGGUGUUGUAAAUCAAAUGGAGGUCUUUGGGAACAUGAAUUGGUCCUUGAGAGCAGCAAGAAUGGUCUUUAAUUGAAGCCAUUAAAUUCAGCAAAUUAAGGAGCAACUUGCUAAGACCUUGGGCAGCCCGAAUCAUAGGUUGGAUUUAGCUUGAGUUUGGAUCGUAUUGGAGAGCGUUUGAGGUGCAGACGCACACCCUGGUGAUCCACCUGUUUAGGACACCCUUUCUGCUAUUCGGAGUGCUCCUCUCUUUCCGGAGCUUAUACUUUUGGUAUAUAUAUUUAUUAGUGCAUUUGUAUAUAUUCGUUCAUGGGUACGGCGGGGCCCUGUCCCGUCAUAUGAUUCUGUCGGUCUGUUUAGAGGUCUGUGGACAUGUUUGUGGGUUAGGGUCUUUCUGUAUAGAUGUAUGUACAUGUCGUUUGGGCGAUCCCAUACGCCGAGGCGGUCGGUCCGCAUAUGUUGUUUGGGCGAUCCUAUACGCCGAGGCGGCCGGUCCGCAUAUGUUUAUAUAUUGCUUGGUUAGCCCUGUGUGGCUUUUGUUGGUAUUUUCUGCGUGCAGGGUAUAUUGGAUAGUUCGUAAAACAAAGGAAACUCUGUCGAAAUUUUCUGGAAAUUACCUAAAUUUGAAAUAAAGUCUUGUCGGCUUCCGCCAUAUACUAGAAUGAGUUGAUAGAAUUUGAGAUAAUAUUUGAUAGAUGGGUUCGGGUGCCCAGAUCGGGCACUAGUCACGGCCUACGGGGUUGGGUCGUGACAGGUUUGUUCUGAAUUUCCUACCUUAUUUAAAUUUUAUCAUAAUAAUGUUUUACUUCAAAAUGAAUUUCUAGGUAGAAAAGAUUUUCUUUGUGGAAAAGGAUUCUACCAUAUUUAUUCCUUUUCUUGUAGGAGAAGAUUUAGACUUCUAUAAAUGUAAGAUUUGUUCUUCUCAUUCACAACACAAUAGCAUCCACAGUAUAGUCUCUAAAGGAGUUUGUUUAGGGAGUGAUCUUUCUCUCGAUAGUUUUUAUGCUUUCUUUUAUACGGAGUAUUAGUUUUUCAUGUAGGUCGAUUAACCAAAUAAUAUCAAAGUAUUAUACAUCUUAGUAUAGUUUUCUUUGUUGUCCGAUUUAUUGCCGUUAAAGUUUGCAAUUAUUAGUUUCCGUAUGAAGCUCUAAUUAUUUUGAUCUCAACAAGUGGUAUCAGAGUCGAUGAUUCAACCAAUGGUUUAGCGGGUUGAAGACAGGUUCAAGGUGUGUUCAAAUCAAGCUGCAAUCAAUUUCACGAUAAUGUAGAUUUUGUCCAGAGUACUACAUGUUGAGAUGAAAUUUGAACCAUAUUUUCAACAUCCCUGCUGCUGCAUCAUUAAAAAUAAAGCAAAAUAUUCUUAAACCAUAAUAUUUUUAAUCUUAUUUUUAAUCAUGACAAGCAGUAGUGGUAAAGAUUAUGUGAAGAUGAAAAACCAAGAUUAUUUUGACAGAAAAUUCAAGCCAAGGGGAGAUUUGGUAGGGUUUGCCCUGAAUUUCCUACCUUAUUUGAAUUUUACCAUAAUUGUGUUUUAUUUCGAAUGGGAUUUCUUGGUAGAAUAGGUUUUCUUUGUGAAAAAGGAUUCUACCAUAUUUAUUCCUUUUCUUGUAGGAGAAGAUUUAGAUUUCUAUAAAUAGAAGAUUUAUUUUUCUUAUUCAUAACACAAUAGCAUCCACAAUGUAGUCUCUAAAGGAGUUUGUUUAGGGAGUGAUCUUUCUCUCAAUAGUUUUUAUGCUUUGUUUUAUAUUAGUUUUUCAUGUAGGUCAAUCAACCAAAUAAUAUCAAAGUAUUA